ACGUAGGGUGCGAGCGUUAAUCGGAAUUACUGGGCGUAAAGCGUGCGCAGGCGGUUAUGUAAGUCAGGGGUGAAAUCCCACGGCCCACCCGUGGAACUGCCCUUGAUACUGCUUUGCUUGAGUGAGUGAGAGGAUAGCGGAAUUCCCGGUGUAGGAGUGAAAUCCGUAGAGAUCGGGAGGAACAUCAGUGGCGAAGGCGGCUAUCUGGCACUAAACUGACGCUGAGGUGCGAAAGCGUGGGUAUCAAACAG
rnacentral:rRNA from 1 species